rnacentral:rRNA from 1 species
AUUGAACGCUGGCGGCAGGCCUAACACAUGCAAGUCGAACGAGGGGCGGACGUGUGAGUUAUUUCUGGGAAUCUGCCCGAGGGAGGGGGAUAUCUACUGGACACGGUCUCUAAUCCCGCAUUCCAUCGGAUAUGCCCAGAUGGGUUUAGCUAGUAGGUGGGGUAACGGCUCACCUAGGCGACGCUCCCUAGCUGGUCUGAGAGGAUGACCAGCCACACUGGAACUGAGACACGGUCCAGACUCCUACGGGAGGCAGCAGUGGGGAAUAUUGCACAAUGGGCGCAAGCCUGAUGCAGCCAUGCCGCGUGUAUGAAGAAGGCCUUAGGGUUGUAAAGUACUUUCAGCGGGGAGGCGUUACCCGCAGAAGAAGCACCGGCUAACUCCGUGCCAGCAGCCGCGGUAAUAC